rnacentral:rRNA from 1 species
AUUGAACGCUGGCGGCAGGCUUAACACAUGCAAGUCGAGCGGAGCGAGGGUGCUUGCACCUUAGCUUAGCGGCGGACGGGUGAGUAAUGCUUAGGAAUCUGCCUAUUAGUGGGGGACAACAUUCCGAAAGGAAUGCUAAUACCGCAUACGCCCUACGGGGGAAAGCAGGGGAUCUUCGGACCUUGCGCUAAUAGAUGAGCCUAAGUCGGAUUAGCUAGUUGGUGGGGUAAAGACCUACCAAGGCGACGAUCUGUAGCGGGUCUGAGAGGAUGAUCCGCCACACCGGGACUGGAACACUGCCCAGACGCCGACGGGAGGCAGCAGUGGGGAAUAUUGGACAAUGGGCGGAAGCCUGAUCCAGCCAUGCCGCGUGUGUGAAGAAGGCCUUUUGGUUGUAAAGCACUUUAAGCGAGGAGGAGGCUCUUAAGGUUAAUACCCUUGAUGAGUGGACGUUACCCGCAGAAUAAGCACCGGCUAACUCUGUGCCAGCCGCCGCCGUAA